rnacentral:rRNA from 1 species
UAGGGAAUCUUCCGCAAUGGGCGAAAGCCUGACGGAGCAACGCCGCGUGAGUGAUGAAGGUCUUCGGAUCGUAAAACUCUGUUAUUAGGGAAGAACAAAUGUGUAAGUAACUAUGCACGUCUUGACGGUACCUAAUCAGAAAGCCACGGCUAACUACGUGCCAGCAGCCGCGGUAAUACGUAGGUGGCAAGCGUUAUCCGGAAUUAUUGGGCGUAAAGCGCGCGUAGGCGGUUUUUUAAGUCUGAUGUGAAAGCCCACGGCUCAACCGUGGAGGGUCAUUAGAAACUGGAAAACUGGAGUGCAGAAGAGGAAAGUGGAAUUCCAUGUGUAGCGGUGAAAUGCGCAGAGAUAUGGAGGAACACCAGUGGCGAAGGCGACUUUCUGGUCUGUAACUGACGCUGAUGUGCGAAAGCGUGGGGAUCAAACAGG